rnacentral:rRNA from 1 species
AUUGAACGCUGGCGGCAUGCCUUACACAUGCAAGUCGAACGGUAACGGGCCUUCGGGUGCCGACGAGUGGCGAACGGGUGAGUAAUACAUCGGAACGUGCCCGAUCGUGGGGGAUAACGAGGCGAAAGCUUUGCUAAUACCGCAUACGAUCUACGGAUGAAAGCCGGGGACCGCAAGGCCUUGCGCGGACGGGGCGGCCGAUGGCAGAUUAGGUAGUUGGUGGGAUAAAAGCUUACCAAGCCGACGAUCUGUAGCUGGUCUGAGAGGAUGAUCAGCCACACUGGGACUGAGACACGGCCCAGACUCCUACGGGAGGCAGCAGUGGGGAAUUUUGGACAAUGGGCGCAAGCCUGAUCCAGCCAUGCCGCGUGCAGGAUGAAGGCCUUCGGGUUGUAAACUGCUUUUGUACGGAACGAAAAGCCUUCUUUUAAUACAGGAGGGUCAUGACGGUACCGGAAGAAUAAGCACCGGCUAACUACGUG